rfam:Lactobacillus plantarum WCFS1 complete genome
GGUUAAGUAAUAUCUCUACCUAAGACUCAGGCGGCUUAACGGCCUUAAUCUACCUGCCGAGGACAUUGUUUUUUCUCUAUGUCUUGGUGGACAUAGGGAUUUUUUUAUAAAUCC